ACGUAGGGUGCGAGCGUUAAUCGGAAUUACUGGGCGUAAAGCGUGCGCAGGCGGUUUCGUAAGACAGAUGUGAAAUCCCCGGGCUCAACCCGGGAACUGCAUUUGUGACUGCGAGACUAGAGUGUGGCAGAGGGGGGUAGAAUUCCACGUGUAGCAGUGAAAUGCGUAGAUAUGUGGAGGAAUACCGAUGGCGAAGGCAGCCCCCUGGGCCGACACUGACGCUCAUGCACGAAAGCGUGGGGAGCAAACAGGAUUAGAUACCCUGGUAGUCCACGCCCUAAACGAUGUCAACUAGGUGUUGGGGAAGGAGACUUCUUUAGUACCGCAGCUAACGCGUGAAGUUGACCGCCUGGGGAGUACGGUCGCAAGAUUA
rnacentral:rRNA from 1 species